CCCUACGGGGGGCAGCAGUGAGGAAUAUUGGUCAAUGGGCGGGAGCCUGAACCAGCCAAGCCGCGUGAGGGAAGAAGGUACAGCGUAUCGUAAACCUCUUUUGUCAGGGAACAAAGGCGGGGACUAGUCCCCGGAUGAGGGCACCUGAAGAAAAAGUAUCGGCUAACUCCGUGCCGGCAGCCGCGGUAAUACGGAGGAUGCGAGCGUUAUCCGGAUUUAUUGGGUUUAAAGGGUGCGCAGGCGGCCUGUUAAGUCAGAGGUAAAAGCCCGGGGCUCAACCCCGGUGAGCCGUUGCAACUGG
rnacentral:rRNA from 1 species